rnacentral:rRNA from 1 species
UACGUAGGUGGCAAGCGUUGUCCGGAUUUAUUGGGUUUAAAGGGUGCGUAGGCGGCCCUGUAAGUCAGUGGUGAAAUACUCUAGCUUAACUAGAGGGGUGCCAAUGAUACUGCAGGGCUUGAGUACAGAUGAGGUAGGCGGAAUUGACGGUGUAGCGGCGAAAUGCAUAGAUAUCGUCAAGAACACCGAUAGCGAAGGCAGCUUACUGGGCUGUAACUGACGCUGAUGCACGAAAGUGUGGGGAUCAAACAGG